CUUCUAACUCUCGGCUUCGAUGUACAAUAAGUAAUCAAAUAAAGCACAGAUGGUCAUUUACAGUAUGUGUUGCCUAUCGUUUCAUCAUUGUUUCGGACAGGAAACUCAUGUUCUUUGUUUCCCAACAACUGUAUCUUCUCAGAUACUCUAUUAUUGAUAUGCGUACUACAAUAAAUGCGAUACAUGGAACAAAGCCGAUGGGUUCAACUGAAUUCCUAUGUCAAACCGCUGGCAGAUUUACAUAUGCGAUACACACGAGAGCGGUUGGCCAGCGAUUGCUGAUCUAUUUGAGUGGUCAUAGGAGCCAAGGAGUCCUGAGCCAAGGUUAUUCCUUCAACUGAUUGGAUUCCUGUGUUUUCCACUCCCCUUACUUAACUUCGAGAGCUCGGAGCAUUCGAAUCGAUUUAUGUUAAAGAGUGCCCCUGGACCGGGCCCAAAUCCCGUGACUUACUGCAGAGAGCCACGCACUUGAGCUGGUAAGAGCGAAAAAGGCUAAGAACAUUGGCAAUUGUGAUAUCUACUGGCAGCAACGACGUGUCGACAGGCAGACAACAGAGCGAUAAGAUAUGCCCCAUCUAUUUGGCCAAAUUCAACUUGACUCUGGCCUUCAGGUGGUGCCGGGCUGCCAAGCUGCUAAGUUGGCAAAAAUUUACGCUAAUCUCUUGGCAACACGCCACAAAGUUUCAGGGUCCCAGCCUUCCAGUCUUCCAGUCACCCAGUCCCCGCCAAUUCAUUAGCAUUAGCUCAGUUGGCUCAGUUAGCCUGGUCGGUAGAAUAGGUAAAAAGGGGUAUUAUACUCGUAGUAUCCACAAGAUACUCACUUGCAUACAUGUGUUGUGACGCAGCGGACAAUGCAAAUGUGAAUGUGAGGCAUUUGAACAAGCGCAUAAUUGCCAGAGAAUUUACGAUAAUGUUUUAAAUUAAAAAGGAUGUUGGACCGGGCAUCCCAAGCCCAUCCACAUCCACAACUGUAUCCCUGUCCCCAUGCCCAUCCCCAUCCGCAGUCCCCCGAUUCACUUGGCAUGACGUUGCCUGCGCUCCUUUGGCCAGUUGGACGUUGUGGCCCGAGUUGAGUUGGCAUUAAAACAUCUUGACGCAAUUUUUGCGAUAAGUCGACAGCAACGAGCCACAGCGAACCCAGGGCAGAAAUAAUGGCUGGAUUAUGUACGAAUCAUGUCGCUGUUGUGGUCGUUGCCUUUCCUUGGCCAUGUCUACAGCAAAAGAUCAUGUUGGGAGCGAGCAUGGAGCAAGGAUAAAUCAAGGCACCUUGCCACAACCACAACCUCUGCCUCAUCCACUGCCUCAUCCACAUUCACGGCCACUGAACGGCUAAAAGGUGUUAAAACUAUUUUUGUAAAUUUAAUGUGCGAUAAAAGAAAUGAAAAUUCAACAGGUUGCGCAAAAACGUGACGAAUUCCGCUCCCCACA